UACGUAGGGGGCUAGCGUUGUCCGGAAUCAUUGGGCGUAAAGCGCGUGUAGGCGGUCCGGUAAGUCCGCUGUGAAAGUCGAGGGCUCAACCCUCGAAUGCCGGUGGAUACUGUCGGGCUUGAGUACGGGAGAGGCGAGUGGAAUUCCUGGUGUAGCGGUGAAAUGCGCAGAUAUCAGGAGGAACACCGAUGCGAAGGCAGCUCGCUGGAACGUUACUGACGCUGAGACGCGAAAGCGUGGGGAGCAAACAGG
rnacentral:rRNA from 1 species